AGGCAUAUUAAGAAGGGUAUCGGGCCCUUGUUGUUGCACUUGCUGAAACUUCUGCAGAAACUUUUCCCUUUGAUCAGGAGCUAUUUCAGUUCUUCCACGAAGCUGCCCCGCAUCAUUCUGAUUCGGAAAGGGACUUCCAGUGUUGUUAUUUAAUGCAUGUAGCAACACAAAUCAUGAUUCACUCAGGGCAAAGCCAAUGCAUGCAGCAGGUUUGGUGUACAAUGUGUUAAUUGGUUUUGCAGGCUGCUGAUGCUUGGCGGCAGGACCAUGGUUUUGUAGGAAUUUGUUGACAGGAUAUUGUAACAGCAGACUGUAGGUUUCGGCUUAAUCAUAUCAAGCAAAAGAUAAAUAAGAGUGGCCCUUGUUACACUGAUGUCAAAAACCCUGUGCUGCAACUGGUGCUUUACGAGCAGCCCGACAAUAUCCAGCAUCAUCUUCCAUGCAUCUCCUUGUGCACUUCUUGCUAAUGACAGAAUAGGAUUUGCUUCCACAAUCGGCAUCAUCUGGCUGACUGCAGGACCCAACUGCUCAAAGUAAGGAAUCGCCUCUGCCGCUGGUCUGUUGUUGUAAGCGAUUACAGCAUUUUCCUUUCAUAAGUGAUACAUAUCUUUUCAUCACAUUCCUUGGGUAAUUUCUCAGAAAAUAAGCUUCCUGUGAGUACUUGAAGAAGUGCACCAUUGCUGGAUGCAUGGUGUAAUGUGGUUACCACUAAAUUCUACUUUUUCUACCAUACCGUCGAAAGGAUCGAUACGAGGCGUGAGUGUUUAUUCAAGAAUAUCUGUCUCGUCAAUUGGGUCGGAAUUGAAUUUCACCAAUAAUGUGUGUUUGACAUUGUAUGAAGUUUUAAAGCAAUCACGAUUUUCUGAUGGCGUCGGCUUGAACUCUGAGACUCCUUUGCAUCGGUAUACUCCAACCGAAUAGUCCGAAUUUUCCUAAGGUAGAAGAGAUAGCGACAAAAUUGUUGGUUUGAUCGGUACUUAGACGACUUUCAGUGAUAUCAAAGGCACUACCAAGCUUUUGCUUCCGCCGACAGAUACAUGGUUGAGGUUUGCCUUCUGACUUGAUGUGGUGCAGUAGGAGGCAAGAAACUUCAAAGUUUAAGGCAUGACCAAGUUGGCAUUAAAGUGAAGAAACCAAAUCCACAAAUUAAAAUCAAGGCCAACAUGGACAUGAAGCAUGGAACGAGGAUUAGGGUCAUGAUGGAAGACUUAGGAUUUUAGGAUGCAAAGAGGUUGCGUUGACUUUGGUCAAAGUUGACCAAAGUCAACAAUUGGUCAAAGUUCAUUUUUUGUAUCUUUCUUGUAAAUGGAAUUCAAUGGACAAUUAUGGGUGAAUUUUAGGGUUUGGGGAAUUUGGGUUGACUUUGGUCAAAGUUGACCAAAAAGUCAACUGUUGACCAAAGUCAACAAUUGGUCAAAAAUGUCAAAUUUGUAUUUUCUUAUGUAGAAUCAAAUGUAAUGGUUUAAAAUGACA